GACGAACGCUGGCAGCGUGCUUAACACAUGCAAGUCGAAUGAUGAACCCGGAGCUUGCUCCGGUGGAUUAGUGGCGAACGGGUGAGUAACACGUGAGUAACCUGCCCUUGACUCUGGGAUAACUGCGGGAAACUGUAGCUAAUACCGGAUACGACCCUCGGCGGCAUCGCCAGGGGGUGGAAAGAAUUUCGGUCAAGGAUGGACUCGCGGCCUAUCAGCUAGUUGGUGAGGUAACGGCUCACCAAGGCGACGACGGGUAGCCGGCCUGAGAGGGUGACCGGCCACACUGGGACUGAGACACGGCCCAGGCUCCUACGGGAGGCAGCAGUGGGGAAUAUUGAACAAUGGGCGCAAGCCUGAUGCAGUAGCGCCGCGUGAGGGAUGACGGCCUUCGGGUUGUAAACCUCUUUUAGUAGGGAAGAAGCGAUAGUGACGGUACCUGCAGAAAAAGCACCGGCUAACUACGUGCCAGCCGCCGCAGUAA
rnacentral:rRNA from 1 species